GACGUAGGAUGCGAGCGUUUGUUCGGAAUUACUGGGCGUAAAGCGCGCGUAGGCGGACCUGCAAGUCGGGGGUGAAAGCCCGAGGCUCAACCUCGGAACUGCCUUCGAUACUGCGGUCGUCGAGUCCGGGAGAGGGUGAGUGGAAUUCCUAGUGUAGAGGUGAAAUUCGUAGAUAUUAGGAAGAAGCACCAGUGGCGAAGGCGGCUCACUGGCCCGGUACUGACGCUGAGGCGGCGAAAAGC
rnacentral:rRNA from 1 species